rnacentral:misc_RNA from 1 species
UAUUUUAUAGUUCUCAAUUAUAAUUUAUAACACUCAUUUUAUAUUGAUUUCAAAAGCAAAUAGUAAGUAAUAAUACAAAAGAGAAUUAAGUAUAUUUCCUUCUCGAUGUUGCAUUGAGUUUAUCGUUAAUUGAUAAAGAAGUAGUGUUCCUUUUAGCGGAGGGAUCUGAAAUCAACAGGUGCGUUCUUUGUCUCAAGGUCAAACAACCAGGAAGAGUAAAAUCGAGAAUUUAUUAGAAAUCAUAUACUUUCGCUCACUUAGCUAGGCCAAUUAGGAACAAUAUAAAGAGAACAAUAAAUCAUGACUGACGCUGCUCCACCAACCUAUGGUUCGGUUGCACAACAGAACCCAGCAGCAACACCAGCAACGAAUCCUACAUUCACAACCGAAUCAAACCAGAUGCAACCAGGCGGUGGCUCCACCUAUCCACCAGCAGUUCAACCUCCUGCACCCGUACAAGCCCCAGGUGCCCAAGCUGCUGGUGGUGCCCCCUAUGCUACACCUUACCCCCAACCGGGACAGCAAAUGCCUGGCAAGGAAUACCCACAGGAGCCCCCACCAAAGUAUGAGGCCCCUGGUGGUGCGGGAGCUCCUGGGUAUCCACCCCAGGGGGCCUAUCCUCCACAAGGAUCAUACCCACAGGGCUCAUACCCUCAAGGUUACCAACAGCAGACAGUCAUGGCCCAACCCGUACAACAGACAGUGAUCGUGCAGUCUUCCCAACUCGGCCCCCAUCCUAAAAUGAUGGAAUGCCCACAUUGUCAUGCUACAGUAACAACUACAGUCACAUACCAGUCUGGAGGCCUCACUUGGCUAUCUGCAGGCCUUCUUUGUUUAUUUGGCUGUUGGAUGGGCUGCUGUUUGAUUCCGUUCUGUAUCGAUGACUUGCAGGAUGCCGACCACGGCUGUCCUAACUGUCACAG